GAUGAACGCUGGCGGCGUGCCUAAUACAUGCAAGUCGAACGAACGGAUGAUGAGCGUUCGCCUCUGACGUUGGCGAGUGGCGGGUGGGUAACACGUGCAUAGCCUUCUUAUAAUACGGGGGGAACAUCGUGAGACCAGAUAUAAUACUACAUAAUAUAUUGAACCGCAGGGAGCAAUAGUUAAUCAGGGCUUGGCUGUCACUUAUAGAUGAUGCCGGAUCGGAUUGGCUAGUUGGUAAGGUAACGGCUUACCAAGGCAACGAUGCGUAGCUGAGCUGAGAGGAUGAUCGGCCACACUGGAACUGAGACACGGUCCAGACUCCUACGGGAGGCAGCAGUAGGGAAUAUUCCGCAAUGGGCGCAAGCCUGAUCGAGCAACGCCGCGUGAGUGAUGAAGGUCUUCGGAUCGUAAAGCUCUGUUAUUAGGGAAGAACAACUGUGUAAUUAUCUCCGCACGUCUUGACGGUACCCAAUGAGAAAGCACCGGCUAACUACGUG
rnacentral:rRNA from 1 species